AGUGAACGCUGGCGGUAGGCCUAACACAUGCAAGUCGAACGGCAGCACAGUAAGAGCUUGCUCUUACGGGUGGCGAGUGGCGGACGGGUGAGGAAUACAUCGGAAUCUACUUUUUCGUGGGGGAUAACGUAGGGAAACUUACGCUAAUACCGCAUAUGACCUACGGGUGAAAGCAGUGGAUCUUCGGACCUUGCGCGAUUGAAUUAGCCGAUGUCGGAUUAGCUAGUUGGCGGGGUAAAGGCCCACCAAGGCGACGAUCCGUAGCUGGUCUGAGAGGAUGAUCAGCCACACUGGAACUGAGACACGGUCCAGACUCCUACGGGAGGCAGCAGUGGGGAAUAUUGGGCAAUGGGCGCAAGCCUGAUCCAGCCAUACCGCGUGGGUGAAGAAGGCCUUCGGGUUGUAAAGCCCUUUUGUUGGGAAAGAAAAGCAGCAGGUUAAUACCCCGCUGUUCUGACGGUACCCAAAGAAUAAGCACCGGCUAACUUCGUG
rnacentral:rRNA from 1 species